rnacentral:tRNA from 1 species
UCUCUGGUGAUCCAAUGGUUAAGAAUCUGCCUGACAUGCAGGAGACACAGGUUCGAUCCCUGGUCUGGGAA